CUGGAGCAGAUCCCUCUCGAGGAAACCUCGCACCGAGGAUCAUCUACACUCUUCAUGGCCUCAGUAUUCUGCUGUCGGUUUUCACUCUUGGUGUCCUGGUUAUGCUGAUGAUACGGGGGUUGAGUGAAACGAAGAGGUCGGGUGCUGAUUUUCCGAUGGACAGUGUGCGAGCCGCGGGACUUCCUGAGGAGAUGAACAGUUCACUGGCCGAACUUCAUGCUGGGAUUUCACAGAUAGAUAACC